AGUGAACGCUGGCGGUAGGCCUAACACAUGCAAGUCGAACGGCAGCACAGUAAGAGCUUGCUCUUACGGGUGGCGAGUGGCGGACGGGUGAGGAAUACAUCGGCAUCUACUUUUUCGUGGGGGAUAACGUAGGGAAACUUACGCUAAUACCGCAUACGACCUACGGGUGAAAGCAGGGGAUCUUCGGACCUUGCGCGUUUGAAUGAGCCGAUGUCGGAUUAGCUAGUUGGCGGGGUAAAGGCCCACCAAGGCGACGAUCCGUAGCUGGUCUGAGAGGAUGAUCAGCCACACUGGAACUGAGACACGGUCCAGACUCCUACGGGAGGCAGCAGUGGGGAAUAUUGGACAAAGGGCGCAAGCCUGAUCCAGCCAUACCGCGUGAGUGAAGAAGGCCUUCGGGUUGUAAAGCCCUUUUGUUGGGAAAGAAAAGCAGCAGGUUAAUACACCGAUGUUCUGACGGUACCCAAAGAAUAAGCACCGGCUAACUUCGUG
rnacentral:rRNA from 1 species